GAACUUGUGAAUGUUGUCGACCCAAUAAUUUGACAAGUUUAUAAAUCCUCUAUCAUGAUACAAGAAGAUAAAGUGAUGGUACACUUAAUCUUUCAAAGUGAUGUUGAGGUGUGUCAUGGAAAUAUGAUGAAUUUUAAAGUCAUGACAAUGUGCUUAUAAUGCAAAUUUAUGAAAUACAAAUAAAUAAUUAGUCCAUUCCUUGAAGAUAAUGUGACUUGUGAUGAGUAUGGUGAAUGCUCGACCAUUCUAUAUGAGAAUGGGUCCAGAUAUGAUAAAAUCAUUAUGGGUUGGAUAUAUGUUACAACUCACCUCUAUGGAAGGUUUGAGAAAAAAUGAUACAUGUCACUUCUCAUCUCUACGGGAGAUUUGAGAGGAAAUAAAUUUUAUUUGGCAGAAAUGGCUAAUUGUAUUGUACGUUUUAUACGUCACUAUGAUAUAAACUACCGAAAGGGCAAAAGAAAGAAAUAGUUCUUGCCUAUAAGGGUUGUGGUCAGUAUUGUGUGGCAAUACAAAUUUGUCAUUGGUUGUGCACCUAUGGUACAACAAAAGUAAAGCAAGAAAGACGUCUUGCUCGUAAUGAUUUUGACCAUGACAAUAAUAAUAUAUUUCCUCCUUGAAGGAGAUGCUCACAAUAGGGAUGGUGUCAUGCAAUAUGUGAUAGUACACAAAAUUAAUUGCAAGCUCGAACGAGUUGUGCUAUUAUUAGAGGAAUAAUAUUGGGGUUGUAGUAAGUCUCAAAAGUAACUUUUUAAGUUUCGGAUGAAUGAAAAUAAAUAUUGAGACUAUAAAUCACUACAACCGAAGAGGGUUAUAAUGUUUAUGUAAAAGAUUACCCCACUUUUCCUCUUGUUUGUUCCAUACAAACAUGUACAUGCUGAUGAAAUCACGUGUAAAAGUAAAUUAUAAGUGUACUAAAAUAAAGAUCAGUUGGCAUGACUGGUUGACCAUUCCGAUUAAAUGUAAUGCAAACGUGAUUGAGAAUUCAGGUGAUUUAUAUGAUGAAGAAAUAAAGAUUCUUCAAGAAUUCUCUUGUAUUGCUUGUUCUCUUGAUAAAAUGAUCAUUGUACCAGCUAAGAUCGGGACUGUAAUCCCCUAAAAUUUUUGGAACAUAUAAAAGGGUGAAUAUGGGCCCGUUCACCUGUCAUGUGGAUCAUUUGCAACUAUAUGAUUAAUGCAUCUAUGCGAUGGUCACAUGUAUUUUGUUGUCAACUUACAAAUUGGUUUUUGUAAGGUUGUUUGCUCGAAUUGUUAAAAUUAAGAGCAUAGUUCCAAAUUAUGAAAUUAUAUUGAUAAUGCUGGUUGAUUUAGCAGAAAUUGUAUGCCUCCAAUUA
rnacentral:lncRNA from 1 species